rnacentral:rRNA from 1 species
GUUGUUCUGCCAAGGGCAUGGCUGGGUAGCUAUGUACGGAAUGGAUAAGCGCUGAAAGCAUCUAAGCGCGAAGCCAACUUCAAGAUAAGAUUUCCCACCGCAAGGGUAAGACCCCAGAAAGACUAUCUGGUUGAUAGGUCGAAGGUGUAAGUGCAGCAAUGUAUUUAGCUUAUCGAUACUAAUAGGUCGAGGACUUGACCAAU